rnacentral:snoRNA from 1 species
UUUCGCCCUAUCUUACACCGGAACCUCUUGAUUCAGUGCAGUGUUCUGGCACUAUAAGGGGACAGAGUCCUACGCUCUCUUCCCUCCCUACUGGAUGUUGUUCCUCCAAGGGCCUUAAAGAAGCACACAGU